rnacentral:rRNA from 1 species
AUUGAACGCUGGCGGCAGGCUUAACACAUGCAAGUCGAACGAGUGGCGGACGGGUGAGUAACAUAUAGGAAUUUGCCUUGUAGUGGGGGAUAGUUCGGGGACAGUCGAAUUAAUACCGCAUACUAUUAGAUGAGCCUAUUUCUGAUUAGCUAGGUGGUGGGGUAAAGGCCAACCAAGGAGACGAUCGGUAACUGGUCUGAGAGGAUGAUCAGUCACACCGGAACGGAGACACGGUCCGGACUCCUACGGGAGGCAGCAGUGGGGAAUAUUGGACAAUGGGGGCAACCUGAUCCAGCCAUGCCGCGUGUGUGAAGAAGGCCUUUUGGUUGUAAAGCACUUUAAGCAGGGAGGCGUUACCUGCAGAAUAAGCACCGGCUAACUCAGUGCCAGCAGCCGCGGUAAUAC